AAAUAUUGCUAUUUCAAAUUUAAAAAAAAACAUUUAUUUUAUAUAUAUAUUUUUAAAACAUUUAAGAAGCUUUUAGAAAACCCUAAAAGUUUCUUAUUAUUUUCUCCAUUCCCUCACUCUCAUUGUUUCCCAGUCGAAAGGCUAGUGUUCAGGCCUUCAACCCCCCUUGUAACCGGCGAAGCAAGGUCCUCCAACGGUGCAAGCACAACGCACGGUGCGUGAUCGAGCACGACUCCGACGUGGUGUGGUGGAGUGGCGCACGUUGCGGGGUGAUGGCGUUCGGCGCGCGAGGGAGGUGGCCUGCUAGAACGACGCAAGAAAGGGUUGGGGUUGGGGUUUGUUUUGGGUUUAGGUCUGAUGGGUUUAGGGUUUGGGUAGUGGUUUAGUUUUCUAUUUUUUUGUAUUUUCGGCUUAAAAAUUGGACUGUUUUGGUCUCUUUUUUGUUUAUUGUUUAUGGGUCUUGGGCCGAACAAUUUUGGCUGAUUACAGUAUACAUACAUUUUGAUUUUGUGCAAUUUUAUAUAUAAAAAUUUGAUUUGAUUUAAUUCUCAUAAA